AUUGAACGCUGGCGGCAGGCCUAACACAUGCAAGUCGAGCGGACGAAGGGAGCUUGCUCCUGGAUUCAGCGGCGGACGGGUGAGUAAUGCCUAGGAAUCUGCCUGGCAGUGGGGGAUAACGUCCGGAAACGGGCGCUAAUACCGCAUACGUCCUGAGGGAGAAAGUGGGGGAUCUUCGGACCUCACGCUAUCAGAUGAGCCUAGGUCGGAUUAGCUAGUUGGUGGGGUAAAGGCCUACCAAGGCGACGAUCCGUAACUGGUCUGAGAGGAUGAUCAGUCACACUGGAACUGAGACACGGUCCAGACUCCUACGGGAGGCAGCAGUGGGGAAUAUUGGACAAUGGGCGAAAGCCUGAUCCAGCCAUGCCGCGUGUGUGAAGAAGGUCUUCGGAUUGUAAAGCACUUUAAGUUGGGAGGAAGGGCAGUAAGUUAAUACCUUGCUGUUUUGACGUUACCAACAGAAUAAGCACCGGCUAACUUCGUG
rnacentral:rRNA from 1 species